GAUGAACGCUGGCGGCGUGCUUAACACAUGCAAGUCGAGCGAGUGAGUUCUUCGGAACGAUCUAGCGGCGGACGGGUGAGUAACACGUGGGCAACCUGCCUCAUAGAGGGGAAUAGCCUCCCGAAAGGGAGAUUAAUACCGCAUAACAUCGUUGAAGGGCAUCCUUCGAUGAUCAAAGGAGCAAUCCGCUAUGAGAUGGGCCCGCGGCGCACUAGCUAGUUGGUGAGGUAACGGCUCACCAAGGCGACGAUGCGUAGCCGACCUGAGAGGGUGAUCGGCCACAUUGGGACUGAGACACGGCCCAGACUCCUACGGGAGGCAGCAGUGGGGAAUAUUGCACAAUGGGGGAAACCCUGAUGCAGCAACGCCGCGUGAGCGAUGACGGCCUUCGGGUUGUAAAGCUCUGUCUUUGGGGACGAUAAUGACGGUACCCAAGGAGGAAGUCACGGCUAACUACGUGCCAGCAGCCGCGGUAA
rnacentral:rRNA from 1 species